GAUGAAGAACGUAGCGAAAUGCGAUAAGUAAUGUGAAUUGCAGAAUUCAGCGAAUCAUCGAAUCUUUGAACGCAUCUUGCGCUCCUUGGUAUUCUGAGGAGCAUGCCUGUUUGAGUGUCAUUAAAUUCUCAACUACACUGACUUUGAAUUGGUGUGGCUUGGAUUUGGGGGGAAAAUUGUUGUGGGCUUUUUGUAUAGUCUGCUCCCCUGAAAUUGAUUAGCGGUACCUUUGUGGAACUGUCUACAGGUGUGAUAAUUAUCUACAUCUUAGACAUCUGCUGGAAUGCUGCUUUCUAAACCUUACUUGUAUUGACAAUCUUGACCUCAAAUCAGGUAGGACUACCCGCUGAACUUAAGCAUAUCAAUAAGCGGAGGA
rnacentral:misc_RNA from 1 species